rnacentral:sRNA from 1 species
GCCAGGCGCACUGGCGCAUGCCUGUAAUCCCAGUGGCUUGGGAGGCUGAGGCAAGAGGAUCGCAUAUUCAAAGCCAACCUCAGCAAAAGCUAGGCACUAAGCAAAUUGGUGAGAUCCUGUCUCUA